rfam:Nematostella vectensis strain CH2 x CH6 NEMVEscaffold_120_Cont13987, whole genome shotgun sequence.
AGCUUUGCGCAGUGACAUUACCGUAGCCGAUGAUGUCCAUCCGAGGCGCGGUUAUUGCUGAUUGAAAACUUUUCCCAAUACCCCGCGAGACGACUUGAAACAUAGUCGGCUUUGCAAUUUUUGUGGGCCCUGCUUAGGG